rnacentral:sRNA from 1 species
CAUGGUGAGGACACCUUCAACCGGGCCAAGCUGCUCAACGUGGGCUUCCUAGAGGCGCUGAAGGAGGAUGCCGCCUAUGACUGCUUCAUCUUCAGCGAUGUGGACCUGGUCCCCAUGGAUGACCGCAACCUAUACCGCUGCGGUGACCAACCCCGCCACUUUGCCAUUGCCAUGGACAAGUUUGGCUUCCGGCUGCCCUAUGCUGGCUACUUUGGAGGUGUGUCAGGCCUGAGUAAGGCUCAGUUUCUGAAAAUCAAUGGCUUCCCCAACGAGUACUGGGGCUGGGGUGGCGAGGAUGAUGACAUCUUCAACCGGAUCUCCCUGACUGGGAUGAAGAUCUCACGCCCAGACAUCCGAAUCGGCCGCUACCGCAUGAUCAAGCACGACCGCGACAAGCAUAAUGAACCUAACCCUCAGAGGUGACCCCAGCACCCUCACCCCUUACUCCCCAGAGGCAACUUCCCAAUAUCCCCAACUCUUGACCCCAAGUGGCCCAAUCCCUGACCCCCCAGUGGGGGACCUCCAAGCAUCCUUGACUCCAAAAAGGUGACUCCCAGUGCCACUGAUUCCCUGAUGUGAUCCAAGGCCCCUCAGGACUGCUGGCACCCCUGAUCGUUGUCCCCCAACCCCCAGCCCAGCCUCAGCCCAAUAUCUCUUAUCUCUGGCCUGAUUCCUAGAGGUGACCAGAAUUUAAUGUCAGGGCCUAAAUAGUCAUUGAGUAGAUUGCAUUCCUAUUGGUGCCCUCGAAGACCUCACUUGUGCACCUGUGGAACCCCUGCCGGGGCAGAUAGGACACGAGCUAGUGGGUGCUGGGCACAGCUCCUGUGGACCCGACAAAGGGGACCUGAGCAGUGUGGGAAGGGGGUGUGGGAAGACAGUGCCCACCCCUCUGAAAUUGAAGGAGGUGGGUGUAUCUCUUAGGAGGUAGCCACAUUUGGUAUCAGGCUGGCUGGGAGAAGGGCCUAAAGGGUGUGUGAAAUGUAAACAAGGGCUUCCUGGGCUUCCUGACACUG